UACGUAGGGUGCAAGCGUUAAUCGGAAUUACUGGGCGUAAAGCGUGCGCAGGCGGUGAUGUAAGACAGGUGUGAAAUCCCCGGGCUUAACCUGGGAACUGCAUUUGUGACUGCAUCGCUGGAGUGCGGCAGAGGGGGAUGGAAUUCCGCGUGUAGCAGUGAAAUGCGUAGAUAUGCGGAGGAACACCGAUGGCGAAGGCAAUCCCCUGGGCCGAUACUGACGCUGAGGAGCGAAAGCGUGGGGAGCAAACAGG
rnacentral:rRNA from 1 species